CCCUUAGAUGUUCUGGGCCGCACGCGCGCCACACUGAUGCAUUCAACGAGCCUAGCCUUGACCGAGAGGUCCGGGUAAUCUUUGAAACUGCAUCGUGAUGGGGCUAGAUUAUUGCAAUUAUUAAUCUUCAACGAGGAAUGCCUAGUAAGCGUGAUUCAUCAAAUCGCGUUGAUUACGUCCCUGCCCUUUGUACACACCGCCCGUCGCUCCUACCGAUUGAGUGUGUUGGUGAGGAGUUUGGAUUGGCCUCGGAAGGUGGUUCGCCACCGUCCGUAGCUGAGAAGUUCUCCAAACCGCCCCACUUAGAGGAAGGAGAAGUCGUAACA
rnacentral:rRNA from 1 species